UACGGGGGGUGCAAGCGUUGUCCGGAAUUACUGGGCGUAAAGGGUGUGUAGGUGGAAGGGUAAGUCAGACGUGAAAUCCAGCGGCUUAACCGUUGAAUGGCGUCUGAAACUACUCUUCUUGAGUCACGAUAAGGUAAGUGGAAUUCCAGGUGUAGCGGUGAAAUGCUAAGAUAUCUGGAAGAACACCGGUAGCGAAGGCGGCUUACUGGUCGUUGACUGACGCUGAAACACGAAAGCAUGGGGAGCAAACAGG
rnacentral:misc_RNA from 1 species